UUUUGGAAAUGCCCUGAUCGAAAAUUCAAUGGACUAACAGUACCUCCAACAUUGUGAUCCAUACGCAUCCCUGUGAAACUUUAACAAUUUUGAUCGUUGGAUUUUAUAGAUCAGGUGGCAUACAUACAGUAGUCUUUGAUUCCUCAAGUAUACAUGGAUAAGUGUUCUUAUGUGAACAAAUUUCAGUCACCUAGGUUCCUACACUUGUGAUCAUUAGUGUAUUCCAGUGUUUAAUGCAAAACUACAGCUCACUUCAAGGGCAUUUUCUUUUUGCUAGCGUUUGUGGUACUUUAUUUUAUCUUUGGGCUUCUCUGAUACAGUCCUAGAUUUAGCCUCAUUUUUAUCCUUCAUUUUUCUCCGCUUUUAUCAAAACAUUGCUCAAUUAUCAACAUUUCAUGCUUUGUGAGCAUGGCGGUGAAACAAUUAUUCCCUUUAGUGCUUCUCUAGAGAGGAAUCUUUCUGAUAUGCCGGCAGAUGAAGCUACAAAGUACUAUGAAGAGACACGGUACAGAGGUUAAAUGCUGGCAAAUCCAAAGGCAGACAACGGCUCUUCAAGGUGCUGGAACAAUUAACACUGAUCUUGAGAUAGGGUUUAUCUGUGGUGAGGUGAUGAAAUUUGAAGAUCUAAAGGAACUGGGUAAUGGGGCAGCUGUGAAGGAAUUAUUAUUCAGUCAUCUGUGACAUUAUAAUGAUUCAUUACACCAGUUUAUGAAUGGAACUUUUAUACAGGUUAAAACAGUGAACCAAAUAUUUAACAAAAUUUCUCCACAAUAGCAAAUAUAGUGGGAAAGAUUAAACUUCAUUUCACGUACAAGUGGGAGCACAAGUUAUAUGCAUACAUUCUUUUUCUUCAAAUAUAAUUGUGCCUCCAACUUAUCUUUACGUUUAAAUUUAAAGGAAACCUUGUAGAUACUCCAUUUUAGCUUUAUAUACUCCUCGCCUUUAGGCAUAGGCAUGAGUGUCGAGACUUCCAAAAUUACUUCAUGUACUGUAUAAAUUUCAUAUCUGAGAUGUUUCUAUAUACGUGACUUAUUUCUCGUGUUUACUCGUUUAACUUUGUAAUGUUAUUAUUGUUGUUAAUUUACUUCUACUUCAUAUAUAAGAGACAUGCCAGUAUAUUGUUGAUAAAAAUGUCUAACAGACUAUGUAACUGUUCACCUUUUGCAAUUUGGAAAAAUAAGAAGAAGAAGAGAGUGGUGCUCGAGUUUCUCUGCCCAAGCACUUACUAAAAAGAAAAAUGAAAAAAGUUUUUGCGCAAGCACGCUUAGUGAAAAUUCGAAAAAAAAAAAAAAAAAAAGACUAGCAAAUGGGAAUUAGCACAGUUACUCUGAUGUGUUCUUCACAGGCUAAAGGUGAAACGAGUAAGAUUAAGAUUUUUGCAUUUUAUAAUUGUAGAAUGCUUAAUAUUGUGCAUCUUUUUAUUUUUGUAUUUUUUAUAGUCUCAAUUAAUUGUAAUAAUUAUCAUGUAUAGUUGCACACUAUAAGGUAGAAGCUGCAACUGAUAAGAUCACA